rnacentral:sRNA from 2 species
GGGCUGGCAACGCCUAAUCCCGCCGCCGGCCCGGUGGUACCUGGACCUCAGGCGGGAGCGGGGGACCCACACGUUCCUCGGUGCUCGACACCUCGGGGUGAAGCCGCCACCGGCGGCCGGGCUCCUCGGCCCGAACCCGACAGCUCACCUCGUCGGCGUGGAGGAAACCAUGG